AUCAGUUAUAAUCUCCCUGAGACCUUCGACUGUGUUUGACCAUUAAAUUAUCAGAAAUGAUUGCACAGUCGAUGAUCAUAGGGUUAAAAUAGCCGAU
rnacentral:pre_miRNA from 1 species